rnacentral:rRNA from 1 species
GACCGCGGAAGGAUCAUUG